rnacentral:rRNA from 1 species
GAUGAACGCUGGCGGCGUGCCUAAUACAUGCAAGUCGAGCGGACAGAUGCGGAGCUUGCUCCUCUGACGUUAGCGGCGGACGGGUGAGUAACACGUGGAUACCCUACCUAUAAGACUGGGAUAACUUCGGGAAACCGGAGCUAAUACCGGAUAAUAUAUUGAACCGCAUGGUUCAAUAGUGAAAGACGGUUUUGCUGUCACUUAUAGAUGGAUCUGCGCCGCAUUAGCUAGUUGGUAAGGUAACGGCUUACCACGGCAACGAUGCGUAGCCGACGUGCGAGGGGGGUCGGCCACAUUGGAACGGGGCCAGGGACCAGACGCCUGAGGGAGGCAGCAGUAGGGAAUCUGCCGCAAUGGGCGAAAGCCUGACGGAGCAACGCCGCGUGAGUGAUGAAGGUCUUCGGUGCGUAAAACUCUGUUAUUAGGGAAGAACAAAUGUGUACGGAGCUAUGCACGUCUUGACGGUACCGAAUCAGAAAGCAACGGCUAACUACGUG